CAGCAGCCGCGGUAAUACAGAGGGUGCGAGCGUUAAUCGUAUUUACUGGGCGUAAAGCGUGCGUAGGCGGCUUCUUAAGUCGGAUGUGAAAUCCCUGAGCUUAACUUAGGAAUUGCAUUCGAUACUGGGAAGCUAGAGUAUGGGAGAGGAUGGUAGAAUUCCAGGUGUAGCGGUGAAAUGCGUAGAGAUCUGGAGGAAUACCGAUGGCGAAGGCAGCCAUCUGGCCUAAUACUGACGCUGAGGUACGAAAGCAUGGGGAGCAAACAGGAUUAGAUACCCCCGUAGUCCCUGUCUCUUAUAA
rnacentral:rRNA from 1 species